rnacentral:rRNA from 1 species
UACGUAGGGUGCGAGCGUUGUCCGGAAUUAUUGGGCGUAAAGAGCUCGUAGGCGGUCUGUUGCGUCGGCUGUGAAAACCCGAGGCUCAACCUCGGGCCUGCAGCCGAUACGGGCAGACUAGAGUUCGGCAGGGGAGACUGGAAUUCCUGGUGUAGCGGUGAAAUGCGCAGAUAUCAGGAGGAACACCGGUGGCGAAGGCGGGUCUCUGGGCCGAUACUGACGCUGAGGAGCGAAAGCCAGGGGAGCAAACGGG